UACGAAGGGGGCUAGCGUUGCUCGGAAUCACUGGGCGUAAAGCGCACGUAGGCGGCUUUUUAAGUCAGGGGUGAAAUCCUGGAGCUCAACUCCAGAACUGCCUUUGAUACUGGCGAUCUCGAGUCCGGGAGAGGUGAGUGGAACUGCGAGUGUAGAGGUGAAAUUCGUAGAUAUUCGCAAGAACACCAGUGGCGAAGGCGGCUCACUGGCCCGGUACUGACGCUGAGGUGCGAAAGCGUGGGG
rnacentral:rRNA from 1 species